CCUAGGUGAUGGAAGAUGAUUGCAGGCAGAAGAACCUGAGCUAGGCUUUAAAAAAUGAAGCAAACCUGCCCUGCUGCACUCAGUGGGGAACCUGCAAACCUGCACCUGCAUGAGUUGUGCUUGGACUUUGUCUUUUGCAAACAAAAAUUCCAAUUUUUGAGGAGAGCUGGAGUGGAGGGGUAGAUUGUGUGAAGUGCAGCAAAACCCCUGACAUCGUUUACUCUGAAUAAACACAAGGUGCUAAUGUGAGCAUUCUAAAGAAAGUGUCUCAGUGGCUUUCCAGAAAGGCAAGCCAAAAUAUGUCUGCCUUCAUGCUGCUCUUCACCUGCGGGGUGUGCACGUUGCUUUUAUCAGCUGCACUCCAUGUUUGAAAAGUUUUUCAGCAAUCAGCUUUAAACUUGCCUCCUGGUCUGUUUCCUCUUCAGAGAGUUGGCAGCCUUCAUUUGCUGGACCUCAGAAGACAAGUCACUAAUGAAGGUAAGAACAAGCGCUCUUUGUUUCUAGGGUGUUGGAUGUCCGCAUGUAUCUAUUUAAAAUUCUCCUCCUGGUGACAGUUUGGACAUGAUUUUUAGUGUCAAAUGUGGUCUUAAGAAACUGUCAUGUUUUAAAGGUUUCAGAAUGACCAAGAAAGCUGUUAAAUCCCAAUUCUGGUGAUGUUAAAUAUGAGCAGUAUUUACAUGAGAACUACUCACACGUUGAAAACUAGAAGUGUCUGCAGCAGUUCAGACUGAGGGACCUGAAUUUUGGCAUCUUCCUUGUGUUGUGAAAUACUUUAAAAUAUUUGAGUGUCCUGAUAGCCAAAUGGAAAGAUGGAUGUUUUAUUGUGCUUGCCAAAAUAGCCUGUAUUUCUUACGGUGCCAGUUUUUCAUGAGAAUGGGAAUUAAUAUAGCACAGCCUGAAGAAAAAAUGUGGGAGAAAUAAUCUGAAACAGUGAAUUACUUGGACUGACAGUUGUCUUCUGGAAAAUAAAGGGGAAAUUUCUAUGUAUUUAGUCUCUCACAGCCAAAAUUAGGCUCAGCAGGCAUUCCACAUGUCAGGACAGGGGGUGUGAAUACCCUGCACCUUACACCAAGCCUUUUAACGUCAGGUUGCCAGCAGCCCUCUGACUGGCUAGUACUCUGUAGGGAAGAGGAGAUGGCUGUGGAGUUAAACAGACUAGUGUUUGUUUUCUUUGAUUCCUCUUUUCUUUAAGUGUCACAGAGCUUUAUCUCUGGCAUCCCUCCAUCCCUUCUGGCCACAGAAGGAGGAAGGAAGACAACUCUUCAGCCACCCCAGCAGGACAUGCUGCUGCCACUGAUGAAUUCCACACUCUGAUUUUUCUCCUCUUCUAGAUUUCAGGGAAAUAUGGUCCCACGUUCACUGCCCAUUUGGGGUUUCAGAUGUGGUGGUGCUGACUGGCUACAAGGAUGCCCUUGUGAACAUGGUGCAUGUGUUUGAUGACAGACCAGCCAUACCCAUAUUUUCUCACAUCCAACAUGGGACUGGUACUGGCAGGUUGAAAAGAUAAGGAUGUGCUUGCUGUGCUGUUUCUCAAGUGUGUUGUUUCAAUUGCAGCAAUAUUUAGGAGCCUGGAGCAGUGUCCUUAUCACUGAGGGCAACAUUCUGUGGGGCUUGAGGGUGGUUGCUUGUUUUCCUGAGAAAAAUACUUCUGGGGAUCUUCUUAAUUGCCUUAUCAAUUUUUUGCUUUCAGUGGCACUUGAGUCACAUUUCAAGGGUGAUUUUUUUAUUAUUUUUUUUUUUUUCAGCACAGAGGGAAGGAAUUUAUUUUUCAUAAUGUGAAGGCUGAGGUCCUUAUGCAAUCUCUUUUCUACAGUUACUGGGAGUUCAGACAAAGCGUGGAUCACACAUGACUCAUGACAAAACCUCCAAGAACUGGCUGGAGUGCAACAGCACGGGCUGUUUGUACCUCAAACAGUUACUUCUGUAAACAGCCUUUUGGCAGGUUUCUGAGUUGCAUGUGAAAACCUAAUACAUUGCCCAAGACUAGACAUUGAAAAACAAUGAAGGGAAUAAUCCAGGGCUGAAAGGAAAAGAUCUGAUGACCUAACAUGUAUAUAAUGCAUACAGUGUGGGCCUUUUUUUCAUCUUGUUUCUAAGAGUGAGGCCCCAUGUGAGGAAGGGUAUGUUCUGCUGCUUUCCCAGCUACUGUAUGAAGAUGGAGGCUGUGAUCAGCCCUGGAAGCCCUCCUGGGAAGGUUUAGUUGUUGCAGAAAACAGCAAGAAUUGUAACCUGCCGGGAAGAGCAAGGCAUUUAUACAUCUGAUUCUGCAGCCAGUUUAUUUAUAACACUGAGAAACAGUUUAUUUAAUUUCUGCUGGUUCCUUGGAUUUCUCCUCAAACCUCACUGAAAAAAGUAAAAAAGUGCAUCAAGAAAAUUUUGAAGGGAAGAAUUAAUAAAACACAACCUGAUGAGCUACAUUGCUGCACUGGUUUUCAAACAACAGGAGCAAAAAAAGCAACACACUUUUUCAUGAUGCAAAUGGAUUGGCCUCUGCACCCAACCUGCUCAUGAUUGGCACUAUGACAUUGCAAUGGGCCAUCCUGCUGCAGCUGAAGAACCCUGAGGUUCAAAGCACUUUCAUCUGGAUAAUUCGUUUUCUGCAAACAGCUUUCUGAAGAUAAAAAGACCCGUUUCAUUGGAAAAUUUGUGACCAUUGUUACUUAACAGCCCCUGUCACCUCUAAGUGCCUCAGACUUGGGCUGAGAAGGAGAAAGUAAAUGAAAAACAAAAAAACCCACCUAGAGUUAAAGACUGGACCUCAAAUGGCAACACAAGUUGGCAAACCGGAGAAAGAUGAAAACAGAGAAGACAUUUCAGUAGGUCGGUCCCCAAAGGUGCUGGUGAGCAGGGAGCUCAGCAGCCCAACAGAACCCCCCCCGGGCUCUGCCAGCUUCUUCUUGCACUGCAGAACAGUUAACCACCAUAAGUGGGGUUUUAAGGCAUACCAAAUUCAUCCAGAGGGAAGUGGAUUUUGCAACAGGGCAUCUGGAUUUUGGCCCUCUCCAAAGCAGUUUGAGGGGCAUUGCAUCACGGAAUUCCCUUUGCCAGUUCCCCAAAGCUCAGAAGGGAGGGCACAGCACAAACCAGGUGAGGCAUGGGGGUCAAGGUGAAGCCAACAUCAGCAGUGAGAUCUAGGUCUGACUUAUCCACUCCCGGAGCGGGCUGGAAAACAAAUUUGCGGAGCAAGCCUGCAAAGAAGAGGAACAGCUCCAUUUUGGCCAGUCCUUCUCCAAGGCAAGCCCUUCGUCCUGAAAACAAGCAGGAGAGAAGUAAAUGAUCAGCACCAUAACUGCUAGUGUUGAUGUCUGAGACCUUCUAAAAUGGAUGUGUGGUCUGUCAGAGCAAGCUGCUGAGGAAGGUUUGGCAUGAUCUCCUCCUUACAUGUGCUGAAGCAGUAACUUAUUUCAGCCACGUGGGACAUCUUGACAACUAGAUCCUUUAAUCCAGCAGUUCCAGAGGAGCAUUGGUGCAGCUCACUCUCUCAGAGCGUGUGGCAGAGCCAGGGAAUCACAGCCGCCUCCCAGCCUGCCUUUGGUCAUUUCUUUGCGUUAGAACUUCUUGGCAUCAACCCUGUUGUUUCUCAGCAGCACAAGCCUUGAAUGUGGCAAACCUGAAAGCCUAAAGAAAGAUGCUUGGCAGAUUACAGGAAAUGAGUCUGGUGUCUUUGUUUGACAUUGGGUGUCAUAAAAUCCCCCAGUACCGCCAAAAAUAUUUGCUCUCACACACUGGCACCCUCCAACACAGCAAUGAUCAGAUGGGAGUGACCAGAAGCCCUUCAAAACCAUGCUCUGCACGGUCCUCUGCACCAUAAAUCAAGACCACCAUGUGACUGCUAUAGCAAUUCUGUACUUUUGCAGCCCAGGAUGCCCCUUCUUCUAUGACUGGCUGGUGAAUUUCCAUGUCUGCACUGCGGCCCUUUGGGUGGGCUGAAGGAGCUCACUGGGGACUGGCUUUCCUCUGUCACAGCAUCCAGAAAGCACACACAGGGUAUGUGACAGGUCACUCAGGGCACCUCAACUGUCUCAACAGCAACCAGAGAAAUCUGAAUUCUCAUUGACUUUUCCCCACCUCCCUAUGGAAACAGAGCAGACAGUUUCUGAAACAAACAUUGCACCUGGCUUUAUAAUCACAGAAUAAUAUUUAAGUCUUUUAUUUAUUUAUUUAUUUUCUUUUUUAGAAAUAAAAGUAUCCAUGGAGCUGCAUAAGAAAAAGCAAUUUGUUUACCUAGGAACACAAAAGCCACACAUCAAGUAUUAAGUAACCCUGGCCUGAGUGUGUGUGCAGGGGAAGGGAUGGGCAGGCAGAGUCGAGAUUUGCAUUGCAGGGAUAUAAUGAGCUUUGGAAAUAAAUGUGCAUAUGACCCCAUUUCCUCUGCUGGGGGGAUGAUACCCUUUCUUCCUCCCUUUUUUUCCUUUUCACCUGCUUUUAGGAGGAGAGGUCUGUCUGCAGUGAGACAUCUCUUGAUGGCAGAAAGUCCUGAUCUGUCAGCAGACUGGCCCAACUCCAGUCUUCUACCUGCAGCCUCUGAGAAGGUCAAAGUACCAACAAUACGGAGCUGAUUGCAAGGAGUGAAGGUCUAGGUCUGUGUAUGUAUAAUGGCAGCAAUAUUUAUAUCUAUAAAUACUUGUAUGUAUAUACCUCUGAAGAUAAAGUCACUCCACCAGCCUGUCUAUGCCCCAGAUAUCUCAUUUCUGCCCUCCACACAGCACAAAUACAACCACAUCUCCAUUUCUCUCAUUGCAUUCCUUGCUUCAGGAAUUGCACCUUUUCCUCCUGCUUGCUCACUCCCACCCUACCUCUGUCAGCGACUGGAAUGGCUUUUUCAGGUCCACCACAUUCAAGUUUCCAAUCAGAGGAAGAGGUCGUGGCCCAGGAGGCAAAUUGCAGACCGACUUCUUCAAGCUGGUAAGAAGGUAAAGGAGGGCGACCAGCCCUGCUGCCAAACAGAGUAGUGAGCUGGUGCCCACGUUCUGCAGCAAGCUCUGCAUGGCCAUAUCUAAAUCAAAGUGUGGGUGUGAGCAUCUUGGGGUCCCUUUAUAGUCCUUCUGUCCUUGGUGAACACACCUUCUGGGCAAGAGGCUUUACACAGAGAAAAGGACUCUGAGAUCUUGUUUACUUUCGUACUGAUGACCUGAUGUACUUUUUUUCCAUGCCAAAUAAAGCACACUGUUUUAUUCUGAAGCAUGGAUUAUCUUAAUCCAGAGCUCUUAUUUCAUCUAGAACACUGGGGCAAGGUGUUUGUUUUCCAGUGAAAAUCUGUGUUUUGGGCGUGUUGUGGUCUAUGUGAUUUCAUGGGCAGAAUCAAGGGACAAGACCCAUGCUGGAUUGCUGUGGUGGUGCCAGAUUGCUGGACUCAGCUGGACCACUGGUGAUGCAACAAGUGAAGCAGGACACAGGAGGGAAAGCCCACACUCAUGCAUGGCCCAGGGUGCAGCUGGCAAGGAAAUCCUCAGGGAAAACAAGGCUGACCAAGGAGGAGCUGGAAUGGUGGUGGCAUGAAGAUGUGCUAAUUCAGGGUCGCAGCUGGGAGCAGAUCUGCCUACAGUUUGCUGUUCACUGUGUGCUUGGAUGUCCAUCUCUGUGUCUGAGUUGGGUGAUGACUCUUGCCUGGCUGUCCUGCCUGUUUAUGAGAAGAUGCAUCCCAUCCUCUAAGAGAAACCGUCCCCUCCAGGCAAUAUUUCUGCCUAGGUUGGGAAAGAGAUCCUGGAUCGUUGUAACCUGGAAGGAGCCAGGAUCAGGCUCUGCAGCUGGCCAGGCAGAGGCUGGAUGCUGCCUGGGCAGCUGCUGCAGGGGGUGCCAGCCAGGAGGACACAGUUUGGCACUCAGGUGCACUGAGUCACACACCAGGGCAAGGUCCUGCAAGGGCCCACGUGCCUGGGCAACUGCUCCCCAACAGCCACCUGCACCCUUUGCAGCCUUGGGCAUGGCAACAAAGCAGAAGUGAUUGUGAAUGGGAGGCCACAGUGGUAAAUGGUGGCUUUGGGGAAAGCAGCCAAUUUGAUGCUCUGUCCCAUAUUCUCAGGCAGGGAUAUUUUGCUCCCCAUUGCAGAUUCCAUCAGAUUACUGGGCUGUGGCUGCUGUUUAACCCUUCAGAAAUCUUUAGUUUCAAUAAUACUUUUGCUAGAAUCCUCCAAGGCUCCUGGGUGCAGGCUCCACUGGUGGAAAAAUGAUGAUUACUUAUUAUUAAUAAUAAAAGUACAUUAGCUGAAGGCAAAGAGAAUCAAUAAACUCUAACUAGAUUGACAGAAAAAAGGUGCCUGCACGUCUGCGUGUUCUCCAAGGCUUGUUACCAGGAGUGGAGUUUUUCACAAGGGACAAUUACCCUGUGCAGAAGAGGACUAGGCAGGGUGGGCAAAGAAAGGAGGGAAACAGAUGGUCAUGUCCAUCUCAAGAUUUGCUGUACAGCUAUGAGGUUUUGGUCUGCACCCUCUUCUCCCAGACAUUUCCAAGAAUGUCCUGGUCUGCCAGAUUCUGAGCAAAUGUUGUGACCACUGGGACUUUUGAAACUUCGUAAGAUAUGGUAAGAGUGAGGAAAAAAAACCCUGCAUGGGCCUAGUUGGUACCCAUGGAGGAAAUGUGUGGGUUUUGUUUACAUGUAGCCACCACAGCUCUGUUGGAGUCGAGCCGGCUACUGCCAUAGCAAGCCAGAGCACUUUCUCAAGGGCUUUUAGGCUGUUUAAAGCUUCAGGUUGCACCUCGUGAUAAUAUGGGGUGAAAUCCUUUCUCAAGUAAUGAGCCCAUGGAAUUGCAACCUGCAAUUCAGGCAGGUGCAUGCACUGUGGGAAACGGUGGGUGAGCUCUCCAGUGGGAGGAUAUCAUUGCAGUUUUAAAGUACAACUGAUGUGAUGUCCUCACCUCCGUUUCCUCCUCACAUACCUUGGUUUCCAGUAUGCAAACCUGAACACAGCCUACAACUGAGUUGUUGACUUGCAGGUGAGGCAUCCCACACAGGACUGGGGAGAAACCAUUGCUCCCUGUUCAGGUUUUUGUCCUUCUGCCAGCCCAAGCCAGAACUGAUACCAUCUUCAGGUAAGAGGACUUUGUGGGCAGAGCUGAGGAAACUAAUCAUCAGUUCCUCCUAGAAAAUGAGCCUGUACACUAAACAGCCACAGGAUCAUCAAACUUCUGUGUGCUCAUCUGGAGGAGGAUAUACAACCUCCUAAUGGGACACAGGUUAAUAAUGCUACAGUAACAGCAGGAUAAUGCAAAGAAAGAGCUGUUAUAAGGCCAUAAUUCAGUCAAUGAGUUCUGAUAGCAUAAUAAACCAGGAGAGUGAACACCAAGUGCUUGUGUGCCUUGUGAGGCUCUGCAACUGAUUUACAACCUCGAGAUGCCUAUCAGCCCAUGGAUUGUUAUCAGGGGUAUAUAAAGCAUGAGCACACCCUAUUAAACAUUAACAUUUUUAAAGACUCAGAUGUGUUAAAACUCAGGCUGCUCCUUGCUAAUGGAUUUUGCUCCCCUUGACAAAUGCCAAUGCAAAAAGAAAUCAAAAGCUUUCCCACUUUGAGCCCUUUCCAUUUUUCAUAAUUAUUGCAUUGUUUGAUUGGAUUACACUCACUGUUUCCUAUCCUGCAAACUGUUUUUUUCUACAAGAUCACUACAGGGUAGUGAUCAGGAUCUCAAGUGUUCACUAGGCUCAUUUUUAUACAAAUAACUUGUACUGAAUUGUUCUUAAUUUAUCUUUCAAAUCUGUGUGUUGCACAUCUGCUUGGGGAAGAAAGACUCCUGCAAAAUGCUUUUAAAAAUCAUUCUUUUACUGCAAAUUUUCAAUGAAAGAUUCUUGGGGUUUGUUGUUGUUUGUUUUUUGCAUUCUCAGAGCUGAAGGAUUGUAUGUGAUGGGUCUGGUCACUGAAGAAGAAAAUUUAAAAAUCUUAUGCAUGGGAUUAGGGCAUUGUCUCUGUGCAGAGCCUAAGGUGACACUCAUGUUAAGCAUUUACCCAUUUUAGGAACACACCAUUCUCAGGAACUUUGUUCCUUUCAAAAGCCGUGUUCUUUGACCAAAGAGAUGUCAUUUCUUCAUGAGUCUCCCUCAGUGACAAAAUACGUGGGGAGAUCCUGGGAUCUGGUGCUGAUAAUGUACUUUAUAAUAGGCAUAUCUAUAAAAAAUAUUUGCAGUAAAAUCCAUGAGCCAGAAGAAGGAACUUCCAGACCCUGUGCUUAGGCCAAGGCAGCCUGACUUGGGAAGGUGGUAUUGAGGAGCUCAGGUUAUAAAGAAUUUAUUUUCAAAAUACAACUGAACAGAUCAAAUGCCUCGAUGUAGCUCCAAGGAUCUUCCUGUUCUGGGUCUCUAGGAUCAGUCUAUCUCAACAAGAAUAUUGCAGAAAUUACAUGAAUCCAAGGACAAUUUGGGGGACAUCACAAAGGAUAAUUAUUUGGCAGGUAUCUACAGAGCCAGGGUCCCAGCAUCUUAUUUUUGCCCCACCCCAUCCUGAUGCAGGUAGAGAUAUGGAUUUAAAUAUACCAGAAUUGCAACUAGCAAUGUUAAAAAAAAAUAAAAUAGCUUGCUUUGGCUUUCAGCACAGUGUUACUAUUUCUUCCCCUCUAACCUGAUGAGGCUUUGGCUCAGUCAUACCAGAAAAUGAACUAUCAUUCUUUACAUCUUUCCAGAGCACAUAAUAUAUUAAGGCCCUGACCUUCCUGGCAUGAAACCAUGAUUUCCCUUUAAGUGCAAAACAAUAAUAUUCCAUUAAUCAUCCACAACAGAAAUCCCCAUUCCCCAGACUUUUCUGGCAAUAUUCUGCAUUUUUGCUUGUCUGGGACCUUGAAUUGAAAGGGAGAAAAAUGGUUUACAACAGCCUGUGGCAAGUGAUGUAGCAAGAGGCCUUAUGUAAGAGCUGGCGGGUGCUGGCACGGGGGUGAGGCCAGGAAUGAGUGAUCCUGGAAGGAUGUUUCUCUGAGGUGUGUUCUGUGCCUGGGCUGGGAACUGCAGUCUCAAGGGCACAAAUUCCAGCGUCUGAAUGUGCUUGGUCUUGUUGGACUCAUUAAUUUCUUACAACUAUCCCAAGUCAAGCUACGAAAUCCCCGUGUACUUUGCUAAAAGCCUUUCAUGGUUUGUCGAUAAAUUAUCUUCAAAUUAACUACCUGAUAAUUUGAACCUGUAAGCUCUUAAAAGAUGCAAAACGGUGAGAGAGAGAAAAUAAUGAAAGUCCUGGACUUUGCUCUGCCCAUAAAAAAGGAAUAUAGGUUCUGCUCUGGUGUGUUAUUCCAUCUGGUGCUUCUAAAAGUAAUGCCAAGUGUGUAAGAACUGCUUCAGAAGGUACCUGUGUACAACUGACAGAUAAGCACCAACAGUGGAAUGAGUUUUCAAUGUGAUCUGACAACAUUGUAAAAGAGCAAAUAUUUUUAACUGUUACUUUAUUCCAUAAUUAAUGACUUUUUAGUCCAGACUUAAUGACUAACAGCCCUGAUUCAAGCAAAGGAUUGUUUUUUUACCUAUCAGGUUGUAUAACUUGAAAUGGGAAGAUCCAAGAUUUUUUCCUAGUUUGGGAAGCCUCCUAAUUUUUGGAAAGGGCUCAGGACUCCAGACUAGGGAUACUGUAAAACACUAGAUGCUUUACAAAUGAUCUUUCUUGUACAAUGGGCACGUUUUUAUGGGUACCUUUUUACUGACAGCUAUUUCAGAUUUCCCUGGUGCCGUGAAUGUCUCUUGCUUCUUUGAAAGAUAAUACGUGAAAAGCAUUUCAUUCUCUGUUCAUGGCACUGUUUUUAUUGCAUUCUUUUGGAACUGCUUGGCUUAAUCUGCAAAUGAGGUUGUGUUUUGUUUGGUUUUUUCACAGUGGUUAUCUAAUGGGGGGUUCACUUGAUCUCCUUGGGAAAAAUACACACUAAAGUGCUAAAGGACAUGUAUGAGGUUCUCAGACAAACUGUAAAGGAAACUCUACAAGAUGCAACUGAUAUUACCAAUAAAAACAUUAAGUAAGCAUAACCAAACACCUGCUACUAUACCUGACCUGAAUUUGGGUAACUACAAAAUUUAAGACUCCAGAGAAAGACAUGCAGUUGAUUAAUACAUAAUCAGACUAUUGGGAUUGAAAAUGACAGAGCAAGUUGACAAAGCCUUUGCACAGGAUUGUUGCUGACUGGGAAUAACGCCAGAUCCCUGCGUGGGAUCCCUGCGUAUCUUUUUCUGUUGAUUCCUUCCUUUAUCCCACAGGGAAUCAGCGAGUCAACAGCUGUGCCAGAAAUGAACCAUAAUGUGGGCAAUUUGCUGAAAUCCAGUCCUUUAACACUUCAGUUAAACUUGCCCAGAUAAACCAAAGCUGCUUCUCUGCUGCUCAGUCCUUGGAGAUCUGGGAGACAGUUUGCUGAGUGUAUUUAUGAAAGAGAAGUGUCUCCCUUUUGCUGUUAAGUGUUGUAACAAAGUCAAGUGGAAAAGUGCUAUUUACUGUCUAAUAACAAACAUCUAUUGUUCAUAGCCCUGAAAACAUGAUAAUAAAUAAAACCUUGUAUUUCAGGCUGUGUAAACCAGUUGCUUAUGUAAUAGGACAUGGUGUCAUUUUUCAUUUACAAUUUCAAUACUGUAAUAUGAAAGCGAUCAAAGCAUAAACAAAACACACUUUAAAUGGGGCUGCAGGUAAUAUUUCUAUAAUGGCUGAUUUGUUUUGUUUUGUUUU